GUGGAGGGACUCCAUGUGGGGCUGUGGACGGGAUGCCGAGCCUCCAGGGCUCCUGGGACCUGGAUGCACAUGCCCUGGGCUCUCGUGCAGGGCCAGCUUUGAUUCAGGGGGGCUGGGUGGGCCCUGAGAUGCUGCAGUCUACCAAGCUCCCAGGGAUGCUGCUGCUGUUGCUGGCACGCGACCCACGUGUUAAGCAGCAGCCGGGAGGGUCAGCUGGUUCAAGCGUUUGUUUCACAUGUAUUUCAUGAGGGCUCUCUACAUGCCAGGUGCUGGGACACAAUGGAGAGCAAGACAGGUGUGGCCCUGCCCUCUGAUGAUGGCUGAUGUGGUCCGUUCUCCUCAGUUGUUUGACUUUGUCUCCACGUUUCAAACUGAGAUUCCCAGGAGUGAGGAUCUGUUUUCCCAGCCUGGACACAGUGUCUGCUCCAGACCUGCUAAACUGCUGGUUUGGAGGGGCUCCCCAAACAGGCCUGGGCUAAGCAGGAGAGUCAUGUGAGGACAGAACAGUGGCCAGCUCUACACAGGUGGGAGGCACAGUUCCUGUUGUGCAGUUGGGGAAACCGACACCCGCAGGAGUACAGCGAUGUGCUGAGAUCUUGCAGCUGGCAAGGUGGAGAUUCAGGGCUUACAUCAUGUUCUCUUGGACUCUGACUCUGUGGUUUUUCCACAGCUCCACUCCCCAGAGCUUUGCCGUGGCUCCCGCAUCUGUUCCACUGCCACACUUAAUUCUGCUGAGAUGACCAGAGCAGGAAGCAGGAAAGCUGACUUCCCUGAAAGAGAACAAGCCUGGGCCAGCCUGCUGGAGGCCGAAAGACCCUGUGGAGCUGAGCUGACUCUGCCCCUCUGUCUUUGCUAUGACCAGCACAGCCAACCCACAGCUGACCCCUGGGCUGACCACAGUUGCACGAGCAAGCCCAGCCCAAAUCAGAAGGUUGUGCAGCUGCAGCCUUGUAAACCCCUUUGACUGGCAUGAAGGAGCUUUGAUGCUUAUGUGGAAACAUUCCUGGCUGAGACCUGAGACCUGUCUUUUCUUUGCACCAGACAAGAGAGACCUCCGAUCUCCUUUUCACAGUACCUCGUGCACCGAGCAUAAGGCCUGGAGCAUGGCAGGAGGUCUGCUGCAGGUAGGAAUUGAAUGGCUGAAUGAAGACCACGCAGAUGUGGAUGCUCAUUGUUCCCAUCUCCUCCUCUGGAAGCCAUGUGUCUCCCUCUAAGCCAGGCUGGUCACUCCUUCCUUCAGACUUCACUGUCCCCCCACUUUCCUCCAUCACAAUUCAUCUCAUCGUGACCUCAGGAUUUUUCUGGAAACACAACUAUUGUCCCAUCAAUCCUCUCCCUGUCCUUUGGCCCCACUGAAAACUCUUGAAUGGGAUGUUGCUAUUCUUGGGACAAAGAUCCAAAUCCCUAAGGUGGCAUCUGAGGCCCCUUAGAUGUCUGGCCCUCACCUCUCCACCCCCAGCCUCGUUUCACAGCCCCUACUGACCCCCUGCCCUCCAACCACACAGGCCUUGGAGUUCUUCAUGGUUGCUGACAGCUGGCCAUCAUGACAGGGCCUCUGCACAUGCUGUUCCCUGGCUGAAACCCUCUCCCUUCCCCACCCUCACUUGCCAACUCCUAUUCUCCUUUCAGAUCCCAGUUCAGCCAUUCCAGUCCUCAGGUAAGGCUUCCUUGGUCUCCUUCAAAUCUCCCCACUUCUUCACUGCAUGUGUAAGCUCACACUUCUUUGUGUGACGUAUUGAUUAGUGUCUGUCUCUCCCUCUAGACUGUGAGCCUUAUCAGGCAGGGACCAGUAUGGUUUUGCUUAAUUUCCCUAACACAGUGGCUGUCCCACUGUAGGUGCUCAACAAAAGUGUCAAUAAAUAAGCGGAUGCUGUCCCUGCAGGGUUUUCUCUGAUUCGUGUGCUUCUCUCCCAAGACAGGCUUCCCCCAAGGGCUGGAAUCUGCCUCAGCCAUC
rnacentral:lncRNA from 1 species